GUCCCGAAGGUUCUACAGCUUUAGUCAGUAAAGGGCACAACAGUAACCAGCAUUUUGACUAAGGGAUGCCUAGGAGUCAUGCUGACAUCAUUUUUAAAACAAACAUUUGUCCUCAUGUGAAUGACCCCAAAUGUUUCUGGCAAUGUUCCCUGCACAAAAUGUGAAAAGUGCCCAUGAAGGUUUGAGGUGAUGGAUCCCUUGCAACAGGAACUGGGAGUUACAGGUGGUUAUAAGGCAAACAAGAAGGAUUUACUUGUUUGAUUAAGCUCUGUAGUGAAGGUUCUACCUGAGUUAUGAGCAAGUCCUGUGGUGGGCAGGAGGAACCAGUACAACAAUGAGCAUAGAACCACAAGUUCACUGUUCAAGUUCUGGCUAUGUGACUCUGGGUGCAUAAAACCCUGGCAUUGCUAUGAAGUAGCUCACUCCAAAACACAUCAGAUUAUCUGGAGUUUUACAAUGACAAAAUAGGAAUGUUGUGGGAUACAUGUACACUGUGAAGAUGUAUUCCUGUGAUUGGUGUAAUAAAAAGCUGAACAGCCAAUAGCUAGGCAGGAGACUUCUGGGACUUCCAGGCAGAGAGAGAACACUGGGAAGAAGACAGAGACACCAGCCAGAUGGAGAAGAAGGAGGAUGAGUACAGAAUAAAGGGGCCUCCCUCUUCAUUUUUCACUUAGGACCUAUCACCACCUAGUGGACUGAGUAGGAAUACACCAAUGCAUCACCACAGUGGCUCACCACUUCCGUUUCAGAACAAACCACUCGAUGGAGUCUUCAGAAUCAGAGAAGAGCUCCUGUAUCUAAAAAAUGCAGUUGGAUAAUUGUAACCACACAAAAUACAAAUAUUUAUACAAAUAACAGAUGCCAUGUACUCAAGAUAAUGCAUUGAUUAAAGAAAAACAAAAAUCUUUUGUAGGAAGCAUGGCACUGGUGUUACAAUAAGCUUUGGCUCCCAAAGAUUAACCUAACAAAAUAAAUUUACCAAGCUUAAUUCAACAAGAUAUGAAAUUUAUAACGCCUCAUGACUACAUGAAAUAUUUCCCCCAAGGUUAUAUGGCUCAUUCAAUUUUCAAACUCCAAACCACAUCAACAAAGCAUACAUCAAGAUGCAUAAAUUGUAUUAAAACACUUGGACAUUGUUCAUAAUAAAAGUCCUACCAGCUGGGCGGUGGUGGCGCAUGCCUUUAAUUCCAACAUUCAGGAGGCAGAGACGGGUGGACCUCUGAGUUCGAGGCCAGCCUGCCUGGUCUAUAGAGAGAGUUCUAG